AGCUAUUUAGCUUAUAUAAAGCAUGUAUUUUGAAAAUACAUUAAAGAUUAAUAUUUAAUAGCUU
rnacentral:tRNA from 1 species